rnacentral:rRNA from 1 species
GAUGAACGCUGGCGGCGUGCCUAAUACAUGCAAGUCGAGCGAACGGACGAGAAGCUUGCUUCUCUGAUGUUAGCGGCGGACGGGUGAGUAACACGUGGAUAACCUACCUAUAAGACUGGGAUAACUUCGGGAAACCGGAGCUAAUACCGGAUAAUAUUUUGAACCGCAUGGUUCAAAAGUGAAAGACGGUCUUGCUGUCACUUAUAGAUGGAUCCGCUCUGCAUUAGCUAGUUGGUAAGGUAACGGCUUACCAAGGCAACGAUGCAUAGCCGACCUGAGAGGGUGAUCGGCCACACUGGAACUGAGACACGGUCCAGACUCCUACGGGAGGCAGCAGUAGGGAAUCUUCCGCAAUGGGCGAAAGCCUGACGGAGCAACGCCGCGUGAGUGAUGAAGGUCUUCGGAUCGUAAAACUCUGUUACUAGGGAAGAACAUAUGUGUAAGUAACUGUGCACAUCUUGACGGUACCUAAUCAGAAAGCCACGGCUAACUACGUG